UACGAAGGGGGCUAGCGUUGCUCGGAAUCACUGGGCGUAAAGGGCGCGUAGGCGGCGUUUUAAGUCGGGGGUGAAAGCCUGUGGCUCAACCACAGAAUGGCCCUCGAUACUGGGACGCUUGAGUAUGGUAGAGGUUGGUGGAACUGCGAGUGUAGAGGUGAAAUUCGUAGAUAUUCGCAAGAACACCGGUGGCGAAGGCGGCCAACUGGACCAUUACUGACGCUGAGGCGCGAAAGCGUGGGGAGCAAACAGG
rnacentral:rRNA from 1 species